GACGAACGCUGGCGGCGCGCUUAACACAUGCAAGUCGAACGGAAAGGCCUGCUUUCCCUUGUGGAUUGCGGGUACUCGAGUGGCGAACGGAUGAGUAACACGUGAGUGAUCUGCCCCCAACUUGGGUAUAAGCCUGGGAAACUGGGUCUAAUUCCCGAUAGGACUGCAGGGUGGUGCCUGUGGUGGAAAACGAUUUUCUAGUGGUUGGGGAUGAGCUCGCGGCCUAUCAGCUUGUUGGUGGGGUAAUGGCCUACCAAGGCGGCGACGGGUAGCCGGCCUGAGAGGGUGGACGGCCACAUUGGGACUGAGAUACGGCCCAGACUCCUACGGGAGGCAGCAGUGGGGAAUAUUGCACAGUGGGCGGAAGCCUGAUGCAGCGACGCCGCGUGGGGGAUGACGGCCUUCGGGUUGUAAACUCCUUUCGACCGCGAGGAAGCCACCUGGUUGGAAGGGUGGUGACGGUAGUGGUAGAAGAAGCACCGGCUAACUACGUG
rnacentral:rRNA from 1 species